UUUUAAGAAAAAAAUUUAUUCCAGCCAAUAAAAGAAAACAAUUCCCUACAUGCUUGAGAUUUGACCACUCAUGGGUAAGAAACAGAGCAAAUUAUGCUUUGUAACUGUACUACGGUGAUCCAUGUUGUAAGUUAUUAUAGCAAAAAGAUAUUCUAAUAACAGAUAGCAAUGAAAGCCCACUUACAUUUUUAGCAUAGAACUAAUGAUUUAGGAAACAUAAAGCAAAAAUAUUCACCUGAAAUAUCAAGACCUCAAAGAUCCAUAAAUCCCUAAGAAAGUUCAAAUCCAGUGUUGGAACUUAUUGCAUAUAGAAGUUUUGCUCUCAAAGUGCUUGCUCGCUUGUAUGUUGGAAGCUUAAGAGUAUUGUAGCACGUAGAAGCUGAUGGAAGCCGCUCCACAUCUUGUCCUCCAAUUGUUGCCAAAAGAGAGGCAUCACAUGCAACCUUAUGGAUAGUAAAGGAUGGCUGCAAGUGUUUGAACCCAAGUAAUGGAGCUCGAGAACAGCUGGUCACAAAUUUUACCAGCAUACAUCGUUCCUUUGGUUCAAAUCCUUUAAUUACCUCCCAGAAAAGUUUGAUUGUCCGACUCCCCUCAGAGUAGCCACCUGUGUAACGUGUGUUAUUUCUUAAGUCAUCAACAUCAAUGUCAAAGUCACCACCUGAAAGUAACUGAUUGAAUUCGCUUGCAUUAAACAACUUUAACCAAGAUGGGGAUAUGAGAUCCGUUAGUCCCCUGUAAAAUGCAUUUGAAUAGGGUAAUAUCUGUCGAUUGAGUUUAUAAUCUGCCAUUGCAUGAACAUACUGCAUCUUAUUCUCAUUUGUCACACAAACAUUCUUGCCACCAGGUUUAAGCUCGAUAACAUAAUGUUUACCAAAUGAUUCUUCUGUAAGUGUGAAGUCCAGAGAGAGAUCCUUGAUAUCACCAUCAUAAUGCUUCACAUACAUGAGAUUCCUGUACAGCUCUGGAUCAAGUGUUGAUAGUUCAUCAAGAAAGCUAUAUCGGCCUAACAGCUUUUGUACAAAAACGUGUGAAAAAGAGUAAUCCAGCAAUAUUCCUUCAUAAAGAGCUUUCCCAACAACUCUUCCAAGAAAUUCAAUCAUCUGGAUACCAUUCUCCAGAUAUCUUGCAGUUGGAUUAGGGAUUAAAAAUCUGUCUGAUGUUAAUGUUUGGGAGAAUAGGCCAUACCUUAAACCACAAUAGUAUGGAAAUAGCAUAAAACACUACUUGUGGGAAAGCAGAUAAUGAAAAAGAACCAAUAUGGAGACACCAGAAUAAACUUACUCAGGAGAAAAGGCUGCUUUUGAUAUAUCGGUUAAAAACUCCUUUGAUAAUCCACCAUAAUCCAAGCCUGCCUCUGGAACACCGCAUUCACUAACAAAUGAAACAUGAAUGGAUGACUUCAAUCUUGAUCCAAGAGUAUUUAGUUGCCGAAAUCCAUCUUCAACAAUAUGACCCCGCCGAAUUACAAUCUCAACUGCUCGUGAACCAGGUCCAGUGACUUCACCGGCCAUUUUUCGAGAUACUUUACCCAUGUUGAUAAACUCUCGAAACAUCUGAACUCUUUCUUCGAAUGGAUAUACAUGUGGAGUUAUAGUGAUUACAGAACCCACACUUGGCACAGUCAAAGCAUCAUCUAAUUUUGUAUUAGACAACACAAUUUCAUGAGUUCUGGCAGCAACUGCAAUUGGGGGUCGGCUCUUUCUAGCAGGUGAAAGCCACAAAACAGGAGGACAAAACUGGUGCCUGCAAUCCCUUUCAUACAUCAAAUGCGAACAUCUGAUUGCAGAAUCCAUAAGAGGUCUAGUCAGCUGAACUGUACCAUGGGCCAAGCCAUUGUACACUAAUGUAUUGAGCACUGAUGCAAUUCUUCGUUGCUGCUCCAGCUUGAAUGGGACCUGUUUUUCAUAGAACUCAAUGUCAUCAAGAACUAAAAGCAGGUGUGAGUAUGAUGCACAGAACAGGUGAAGCAAACAUGAAAUAUCUUUCGAAAUUUUUUGUGGACCACAUGUCAACGGUUCUACAGCCCAAACAUCUUGCAAAUCUUCAUCCACCUGUGAAGUAGGUUGCCCAUCAACUGAAUCUGUAUAGUCAACACCAGCUUGGGACUUUCCACUAAUUUUAUGGAGAAUAUUGGUCCAUUUAUUACCUCCUCCCUUAUUAAGCUGCUUUUGUUUUUUAUCACCUCUAACUUUUUUAUUCCCCAAAAUUUUACUAGUGGAAAAAUCAUGAUCAGCACAAAUGUCCCCCUUUCUAGGAAAAAGUAAACUUUCCAAUGCUUCCCACAGAGUGACAAGAUAGCCAGGAGUAAAUGAUAGCAUAUUAAGAACAGGCAACGGGCCAUGAGUAGGGUUCAAGAUUGAAAAUAUCCUGAGAAUGUAAGAAUAGAAAUAUGCAAUAUCAAGCAGUUCCAGCUUCCUUAAGUAUUUAGGAUUUUGCGCGUCAUCUGUAUGAACAUAGGCAGCAGUCUUUGAGAUUGAUAGAAGUUUUGAAAGAUGCCACUGCUGACAAACAGGACUCAGUAGGUCUACAUAAGACAUUUUUAAGGUACAUAUAGUCUCGUUCUCAUAUGAAACUUUACCAACAGGCUCUGCAGAAGUUUCAGCAUUAACCUGAGGAAAUUGAUUCUCCUUUUCAGGCCAUCCACUGUUGUCAAGCCAUGACAAUAAGCUCUCAGCAAGAAUGAUCACAACAUGGACAUAGAAUGCAUAGUCUAGACUUUGAUUGAGCCCUCCAGGAUCCAGAAAGUCAUUCUCACUCCCAGUAAAAAGGCAAAUAAUGUUUGAAAGAGCCCAACCAACUGCUGGAAUCACCUUUGAAGAAUGCUGCUCAAUUUUCAAAUGAUCUAUCUGGGAUAUCUCUUUUAGUAUAUUAUCUCUCAAAAUCAGUAGAGUCUGGAGGCAUGGUAAAAGAAUAGACUUGUGCUUCAAAGCAGAAACAAGUACAGCUGGGAGACGUUGAGUAAGCAUGGGAAUUGUAAGCAGAAACAAACAGUACUGCCCAGCAGCAGAAUGCAUGUCCAGCAGGUCUAGGCCAGUUAAUUGAAAAUUUGUUGCAUGAAACGGCCGUAAAGCUAAAGUUACUGCAGUUGUGGUGAUCAAGAAUUUAUCAUCUGUCUGAACCAUAGUUUUUGUUUGUGAAAUAACAGGAAUAUCCAAUUUGUUAAUGUAUCUUCUGAUGGAUAUGUAGAGACCACUUUCACAGCUUCCCAUAAACCCAACCAAAUCAUUUACUGUUGCAUCUGCAUCUUUAAGACUAUUGUUGGUAAUACUUUUCCAACCUUUCAGAUCAGUUAACACAACAAGAAAACGCAUUGCAAGAGCAGUAAUUAAAAGAAUAUCUUGUCCCCCAGUAUGAGAUUUAUCACACUCGGCAAGGAGAAAUAAGCAGAGAGAAAUCAGCUUCUUUGAUUGAUAUGUCCAGAUUCUCCUCUCUUCAAGUGUACCCAAAGCUAGGGAGCAAAAGUUCUGUCUUGAAUCAGCAGAAUUUAUGCUUUCCAACAUAAUCUUAAAGCAGGCCUGCAUACAGUUUACAUCUCUGGUGCAAAUCUUCCCAUGCUUAGUGGAUAAACAUGCAAUGAAGAAAAGAAAAGGUCUCAAAAGCCUGCUGGAAACCCAGCUGGCAGUUAUUGAACCAUCAUGACGAUACACCAUGUUUUCCCAUUCUUCUUGAAGCUGCAGAGCUACCUUCUUUGUCACAAUAUAGCGCCUCCAUACUCUCUGUAAAAACAAACAAACUAGGUCCUUCUGACAUUCUUACAUUAAACCCUUACUUAUGAAGCAUCAUUGCAAAUUAAGCUCCUUUUUUUUCUCAAAUCAUAACAACAGGAUUACCAAUCACAAAAGUAAACAAAAUAACAAUUGUGCACUGAUACCAUAUUGAAAAAUGAAGAGAGAAGAGUUUAUUGAACUGCAUGAAUUACAAAUGUAGCUGAAUAAGCUUAUAUAUACAGUAAUCAGCUGCUAAACCAAGAACUGCUCUCUAACUAAAUUGCUAACAGAAAGGACAUGUGGCGUUACCAUCUAACCAAGCAUGCAAUAAUAACAAAAAAAAAAACACCCAUAAUAGCUAUAAUUACAAUAAAAUGAAGCACCUGGGCAAAGAUAGCAGCAGCAGUAGCUCGUCUAGCAUAACUACGGCGUUCUCUUUCAUGGGAGACCCUCUCAAGAAGGGCGUUCCUCGAUAUCUCUCUCGCACUUGCUCCCCUUAAGGACACCUGAUGCUUGCGAGGUUCGUCCAUGGAGCUAAUAUGAGUACGGCAUAUGAUUGAUAAGGGAAAAAGCUUAGAGAUGUCAACGAGGGUUUUAAUGGCUGAU
rnacentral:misc_RNA from 1 species